UUUCUACUCCCUCCAUCCGAAAAUAAUUGUCAUCAAAAUGGAUAAAAAGAGAUGUAUCUAAAACUAAAAUAUGUCUAGAUACAUUUCCUUUUAUCCAUUUUGAUGACAAGUAUUUCCGGACGGAGGGAGUAUUUG
rnacentral:pre_miRNA from 1 species